GAUGAACGCUGGCGGUAUGCUUAACACAUGCAAGUCGAACGGACUCUUCGGAGUUAGUGGCGGACGGGUGAGUAACGCGUGAGAAUCUGGCUUUGGGUUCGGGACAACCACUGGAAACGGUGGCUAAUACCGGAUGUGCCGAGAGGUAAAAGAGAAAUUGCCUGAUGAUGAGCUCGCGUCUGAUUAGCUAGUUGGUGAGGUAAAGGCUCACCAAGGCAGCGAUCAGUAGCUGGUCUGAGAGGAUGACCAGCCACACUGGGACUGAGACACGGCCCAGACUCCUACGGGAGGCAGCAGUGGGGAAUUUUCCGCAAUGGGCGAAAGCCUGACGGAGCAAUACCGCGUGAGGGAAGAAGGCUCUUGGGUUGUAAACCUCUUUUCUUAGGGAAGAACAAAAUGACGGUACCUAAGGAAUCAGCAUCGGCUAACUCCGUG
rnacentral:rRNA from 1 species